GUAUAACUUUCUGUGUCACCUCCUCAUGGUUCUUCUUCAGGUAGGCGAGCUCUUCAGUCAGGCUCUCAAUCUGCAUCUCUAGGUCAGCCUUGGUCAAGGUCAGCUCGUCCAGCACCCUGCGCAGGCCAUUGAUGUCGGCCUCCACGCUCUGGCGCAGGGCCAGCUCAUUCUCAUACCUGAAACAAGCAUGAUCCAAAUACUGGCUAUAACUUAUACUGGAGGCGUACCCAGGUAGAGACUGUUUAAAAAAAAGAAGGCCGCCAUCUCCUCCAAAUCCACCACCGAAGCCUCCUCCAAAGCUGCCCCCAACGAAGCUGCCUCCUCCGAAGCUGCCUCCUCCGAAGCUGCCUCCUCCAAAGCUGCCUCCUCCGAAGCCCCCACCUAAGCUGC